UACGGAGGGUGCGAGCGUUGUCCGGAAUCAUUGGGCGUAAAGGGCGCGUAGGUGGCUUCUUAAGCGUGCGGUGAAAGCCUGGGGCUCAACCCCGGGUCGGCCGUGCGAACUGGGGGGCUGGAGCACUGUAGAGGCAGGCGGAAUUCCGGGUGUAGCGGUGGAAUGCGUAGAGAUCCGGAAGAACACCGGUGGCGAAGGCGGCCUGCUGGGCAGUUGCUGACACUGAGGCGCGGACAGCGUGGGGAGCAAACAGG
rnacentral:rRNA from 1 species